rnacentral:rRNA from 1 species
GUGGGGAAUAUUGGACAAUGGGCGAAAGCCUGAUCCAGCCAUGCCGCGUGUGUGAAGAAGGUCUUCGGAUUGUAAAGCACUUUAAGUUGGGAGGAAGGGCAGUAAGUUAAUACCUUGCUGUUUUGACGUUACCGACAGAAUAAGCACCGGCUAACUUCGUGCCAGCAGCCGCGGUAAUACGAAGGGUGCAAGCGUUAAUCGGAAUUACUGGGCGUAAAGCGCGCGUAGGUGGUUUUGUAAGUUGGAGGUGAAAUCCCCGGGUUCAACCUGGGAACUGCCUCCAAAACUGCAUGACUAGAGUACGGUAGAGGGUAGUGGAAUUUCCUGUGUAGCGGUGAAAUGCGUAGAUAUAGGAAGGAACACCAGUGGCGAAGGCGACUACCUGGACUGAUACUGACACUGAGGUGCGAAAGCGUGGGGAGCAAACAGGAUUAGAAACCCGAGUAGUCC